rnacentral:rRNA from 1 species
AUUGAACGCUGGCGGCAGGCCUAACACAUGCAAGUCGAGCGAGCGGCGGACGGGUGAGUAAUGUCUGGGGAUCUGACCGAUGGAGGGGGAAAACUACUGGCAACGGUAGCUAAUACCGCAUACCAUCAGAUGAACCCAGAUGGGAUUCGCUUGUAGGUGAGGUAACGGCUCACCUAGGCGACGAUCCCUAGCUGGUCUGAGAGGACGAUCAGCCAUACGGGGACUGAGACACGGCCCAGACUCCUACGGGAGGCAGCAGUGGGGAAUAUUGCACAAUGGGCGCAAGCCUGAUGCAGCCAUGCCGCGUGUAUGAAGAAGGCCUUCGGGUUGUAAAGUACUUUCAGUCGGGAGGCGUUACCGACAGAAGAAGCACCGGCUAACUCCGGGCCAGCAGCCGCGGUAAUAC